AGAGCAUAUCCAAGACGACAAAGAAUGGCUACCAUCACACAGAGGCAUCUUACAAUCCACGUCAACGUAAAAACAGACAAUGAAAGUUCAUUCGAAUCGGACCUGAGCAUGCGUGAUCCACUCAGUGCAGACGGACUGGCACAAGAGACUUCUACACCUGAUUCGGGUAAAUUGUUUGCAAUGAGAUUCCCAAGCAGAGAGAGCAGCGACCGAUUCGCCUAUAUCGACACGUACAAUAACGUAUUAAGGUAUGACAGUGAUGACGAGAAAAGAGGGCUAUCAGGCAAGUCAAUCUAUAUAGCUGUCCAAAG